GUAGGUUACUGACUGCACUUGUUUGUGAAUACUUGGAGUGACCACAACUAAGUCACACAAUGAAACUUUACUUUCCAGAGUGUAACCUGCCGGACUUCUGAUAGAAUGAACUGAAAGACUUCUCUAACAAAAGUGGAGCUGAGGGGAGCAAGAGUGCUAAAAGUAGUCCAAUGUUUUUAGAUGUUCUCGAAUGUUAUCUGAAAUAUGAGGAGGAAUCCAAUGGGAAGCAGUGCAUAUCGACCAAGCGCGGUGGCACGGAGGACAACCCGAGAAUGGUGGAAAGAAGCAGGGGAAGGACAACGCAACGAAGCCCCCUAGCUGCCCAAGGACUACAUCCAUGUCUGGGCAAGGCGUGGCGAGCAAGGCAUGGCGAGGCGAUGGACUGUCACAACCUCAUGGAGAGGGUACAUUUCCCUAAGGCUCUGUUGCACUAUUAUUUCUUUGCAUCGUCAUCCUUGCUGGCUACAGAGAUUCGUGUGUUAAGUUUUUUUCCUUGCUUCUUAUGUAUAAUUCAUGUGAGACGGGAGAAGAUCAGCUAGCAGAUGAAGCCGCUACAGGAUCUCGUGCCGAGUUGCAACAAGGUUUGAAUUCAGAGUAAAAUGUUUCUCAUUUUGGGUGGUGGGCAAGGCAGUGAUGCUCGAUGAAAUCAUAAACUAUGUG